UCGAAAGAAGAGACUCAUCGUCAGUGUAAUUGGCUAUCAUGUAAUUUUACGAUGUGUUGAGAUUUAUUUUAAUGCACGUUAUUACUGUGAUUGUGUCUAAUUACGUCGGCGUGCACUUCUCUUCUAGUAGAACGUCGCGACCCGCUGAGUGUUGGUUUAAGGAUUGAUGUUGUUGACUAUAUCGUCGCUUUUUGCGUUACGUGUUAGACACAUUUAAUUCCCAAUCAACUGCUCGGCGGUAUAAUGUUAAUGGUAUCAAGUCGCACUCAAAUGCGUUUUUGACUUGUUGCAAGCUUGAUCAUUUUUUAUAUUAACCUGGAUUACGGACCUAGUGCCGUACCCGGGAGUGAUUAGCUGUUGGUUGACAAUGUUCUCAAACUGGCUUUUAUUGCAUUUAAGCAAGAUACCGGUCUGCGACGCUAUUGCUUUGGGUACUUUCAGGACCCGUCUUGAAACACGGACCAAGGAGUCUAACAUGUACGCAAGUCAUUGGGAUUUAUUUAUUAAACCUAAAGGCGUAUUGAAAGAGAAGAUCGGUCUUGUGCCGAUUAAGGGAGGAUAAGUAUUGAUAAUUUAAUAAUGCUUCGCACUCCCGGGGCGUCUCUUAAAGUCAUUGCGACUUGAGGUGCACCUAGAGCGUACACGUUUGGACCCGAAAGAUGGUGAACUAUGCCUGGUCAGGAUGAAGUCAGGGGAAACCCUGAUGGAGGUCCGUAGCGUAUCUGACGUGCAAAUCGAUCGUCGGAACUGGGUAUAG
rnacentral:rRNA from 1 species